AUACCAGAAAGCAGGCAGCCAGACAUUAAGGUUUAUGACCAGUCAGACACAGAAGUUGACACAGAGGUUUUUGAAGAAAUAGUGAAGGAGUCACCUGGAACUUUCAGAAUCAUGCUGGGCAAUGGAGGACUUGGUGCCUCUCAAUCAUCAUCAUGCUCGGGUACAUCUGAUGACACCAUCAUCCUGAAUUUAAUGAUGGGUGACCCUGUUGAAGAAGUAGCCGCUGACGAAGGAAGCCAGCCUAAAAGGCCAUGCCACAUAAACUACGAGGCAAAAUCGUUGAUUGAAAAAAUCCUAACAUCAAAACCUGGUGGUGAACGCAUUAUGCAAGAGUAUGGAAAAA